UUUUCGCUGUUUCUCCUCCUUCUCUCUGCCUCAAAAAUCCUAAGAGACUCAUCUCUUAACAAACCCUAACAAACUCAUCUGUGUCUCGUUCUCUUCUCUCGUUGUUGUUUCUCGGACAACAAAUUUCACAAGCCGAACGAGAUAAGGUCCAAUCAAAAAAUAAAAAUCGAUCUUAAUUCUUCAUCCGUGAUUUGAGAAGAUAAACCCUAGAACCCAGUAAACGAAAUUAAUAUGCUCUCAUAACAAAUCUAUAUUCUAGUGAAUAACUUAUUUCAAUGGGUUGGGUAAUGAUGAGAAUGAUUUUGAUGUUACUGCUUCUUAGAUUUUUGCAGCGAAAAACAGGGAGCCUUGAUAGCAGAUUUGUUGUUAUGAUGAAAAUUGGGAAAUGCACCUUAGGACUUCCAGGAGCUCUUAAAUUAUUUCUCAGCAGAAGGUUAUCGUUGCAUGCUUGUUCCUUGUGUUCGGGGUAGUAAAACUGCAUGUACAGCUGAGGAGAGCAAGAAAGUCCAUGCAUCAGGAUUUGGUUCUUUUGACUCGAUGAGUUGUGUAUUGGUUAAGUACAAGGGGUCUUGAAAAUAGAACCAAACUAGAUCACCAUGGAGAAGAAAUUGGAAACUCAUUGGAAUGGACUUUACCACAGAUAAGUUGAUAUCUCUUGUAAGAAAGUGGCAGACAUUGAUUGAAGACAACAGACAACUUCACCUUUAGGAUGUUCUGCAUUAGAUUCACCAUGAAGCGAGACAAACAGGUCAAGAGAACCUGUUAUGCUCAAUCUAGCCAGAUUCUACAGGUGCUAUGUUAUGCGAUAAAGAAGAAGUACUUGGAGAUGUUGCAAGAGGCGACAUGAUUAAGUGGCCAAAAACUUAUGUAAAUCUUGUAGGAGAGCUACCAAAUUAGAGUGGCAAGAUUAGAAGUCAGAAAUUUAGUUUUAAUGUUUAGCGUGCAAUUUUAGGUUGAUACUUGAUAUAAUUUAUCUUUCAGUUUGUAGUCAGAGAUUCUAUGUUUUGUAUGUUAUUUUGAGUAUCAAUAUAAUGUUAAAUUUAUCCUUAA